GGCUGGUCCUAAGGUAAUGAGAGCUCACAACCAUUGCUUAUAGUCAAUGACUGGUCGACUUAUUUGUCUACCUCCACCCCACCCCCACUACUGCACUUGACUAGUCUUAA
rnacentral:Y_RNA from 1 species